rnacentral:rRNA from 1 species
UGGAAACGACUGCUAAUACCGCAUACUCCCUACGGGGGAAAGGAGGGGACCUUCGGGCCUUUCGCGAUUGGAUGAACCCAGGUGGGAUUAGCUAGUUGGUGGGGUAAUGGCUCACCAAGGCGACGAUCCCUAGCUGGUCUGANAGGAUGAUCAGCCACACUGGAACUGAGACACGGUCCAGACUCCUACGGGAGGCAGCAGUGGGGAAUAUUGCACAAUGGGGGAAACCCUGAUGCAGCCAUGCCGCGUGUGUGAAGAAGGCCUUCGGGUUGUAAAGCACUUUCAGCGAGGAGGAAAGGUUGGCGCCUAAUACGUGUCAACUGUGACGUUACUCGCAGAAGAAGCACCGGCUAACUCCGUGCCAGCAGCCGCGGUAAUACGGAGGGUGCAAGCGUUAAUCGGAAUUACUGGGCGUAAAGCGCACGCAGGCGGUUGGAUAAGUUAGAUGUGAAAGCCCCGGGCUCAACCUGGGAAUUGCAUUUAAAACUGUCCAGCUAGAGUCUUGUAGAGGGGGGUAGAAUUCCAGGUGUAGCGGUGAAAUGCGUANAGAUCUGGAGGAAUACCGGUGGCGAAGGCGGCCCCCUGGACAAAGACUGACGCUCANGUGCGAAAGCGUGGGGAGCAAACAGGAUUAAAUACCCUGGUANUCCACNCCNUAAACGAUGUCNAUUUG